UCCCUGGUGGUCCAGUGGCUAAGACUUUAUGCUCCCAAUAUAGGGGUCUGGGGUUCAAUCCCUGGUCAGGGAA
rfam:Ovis aries breed Texel chromosome 2, whole genome shotgun sequence.